UUUCUUUUUGUGCUAUCCAAGAGAGAGAAUUUUCAUUGAUAGGGCUUUUGAUGCCAUCUUAUCACCUACCAUAUUAAAAUAUGUGAAUUAAUGUAAAUUGAUCCAUUGUUUAUUUUAUAAUCCUAUUUAAAUUGCUGAAUUGAUGAUUCCUUAGGCAUGUGAAUACAAAGCCUGUACAAUGGAUUCUGUGGGUUAAAUCGUCAGUCGACAAGAGAAAGAUGGAUGCUAUACAAAAGAGAAAAAGAAGGCAUAUGAAACAAUGAAACCAAAGAAAAUAUCAAAGGAGGAGAUACUUCGUCUAAUGGAGGAAAAGAAACAACUCAAAGAACAAGAGAAGCUUCUUACAGCUGCUUCAAAAGCCGAAGGUGCUGAGAUGAAAAAAUAUAAGGAGAUGCAGUAGUGGGAAAUGGGGAAGUAUACUCUAAAAUCCAUUGUAGGUGAAAUUGACAAAAAAGUGGUCGAAUUGGGAUCAAUUGGAGAUUUCUCAAGAUGCAUUUGGAAACGAGCAGAAGAAACAAUGAAAUAAAGGAAUAUCCCCAAAAAAAGAAAAGAAAAACAAACUCAAGAAAGCUAUAUAUACCAAAAAAAAAAAAAAGAAGAAGAAAAAAAGAAAAAAAUGCAAUAUCUACAAGAGAUAAGAAAAAGAAAAAAGCAAUAUCCACUCGCUAUCUGGAGUUGUUGUUCUGGAUACAGAGACAAUGGAGUGCUUGGAAAACAUUUUUUGCUGCUCGUAAGAUGAAGACACAACCUACGAUGUUGCUGCAUGCAAAGUUACUUGGUUUGUGGUUUGUUGUUUAAGUGAGAUGGCUAUUGGUUAAUUUAAUUUUGGUUAUAGCAUGUAGUUUCCAUCAAUAAUCUAGAAAGUGGCUUGCGUAGUUGUUGGUAGUCGUCUAUCAUGUCCACAAAGUUACUCAUAGUAAGUCAUAAUGCUUGAAUCAAACUAGCUUUUCAAAUAAAAAUGGAAUCACUUUCUCUGCUUGUGCGGUUGGAACACCACGAACACUUGUUUAUGGAAACCAGUCGUAUAAUAACAGCCUUGCAAUUGAGCACAUACACCUGGAAUUGAGUAUAGUAGGCCAUUUAGGCCAAAAUGGAACAGAAUAAUUGGCUUAUUUUUCUUUAGUUCUCCACAGAUAUCUAUUGCUUCCUAGAAUUCCAAUUUUUGUAAUGCCUGGUGUAGAAGCAUUAUUAUUUACUUUAUCACACGUGGAAAUUAUAUAAAUUUAAAGAGGCUUGUGCCAGUAUUUCAGGAAAUUCUGUUUGCUAAGGAUUUUAUAGUAUAUGAAAGUCAUGAGAAUAUGUGCUUCCAUACGCUCAUUAUUCCAAUAAUUGUGUUAAUUUAUUCCCUCGUAGCUAUAGUGUUGUUUUGGAGCUUGCUCAAGAAGCUUCCCAUCUAGCAGAUUGGGUACCUCAUGAAAACAUUGCUGCCAUCUUUCCCUGACCAUACUGAAAUAUGUGAGUGGGUGACAUGUUGAUGGCAGUUAGGAUAUUUCAAAAUAUUUUUUGAUCCUUAGUAUUCGUUUGACAUGCCUGUGAGAAGUUUCUUUCAAUUAGGGAUUGAUGCCAAUAUGUGGAUUAAUGUAAAUUGAUCCAUUGUUUAUUUUAUAAUCCUAUUUAAAUUGUGUAUUGAUGA